UGGGGAAUCUUGCGCAAUGCGCGAAAGCGUGACGCAGCAACGCCGCGUGGGGGAAGAAGGCCUUCGGGUUGUAAACCCCUUUCAGGAGGGACGAAGCCCGGGCGGUUAAUAGCCGACCCGGGUGACGGUACCUCCAGAAGAAGCCCCGGCUAACUACGUGCCAGCAGCCGCGGUAAUACGUAGGGGGCAAGCGUUGUCCGGAAUCAUUGGGCGUAAAGCGCGUGUAGGCGGUCCGGUAAGUCGGCUCUGAAAGUCAGAGGCUCAACCUCUGAAGGCGGGUCGAUACUGCCGGACUAGAGUCCGGAAGAGGCGAGUGGAAUUCCCGGUGUAGCGGUGAAAUGCGCAGAUAUCGGGAGGAACACCAAUGGCGAAGGCAGCUCGCUGGGACGGUACUGACGCUGAGACGCGAAAGCGUGGGGAGCAAACAG
rnacentral:rRNA from 1 species